CGCAAGGUCAAACCAGACCAUUUUGUACUUGUCUUUGUCAAGCAACAGGUCCAUAACCUAGGAGUUCUCCACCCAGAUCGGAUGGUUGGUGUACACCACCGAGAGCCGCGUAUGUGAACCUUCUGUGUGUCCACUACGGCAUGCAUGGUGAACUCGCGCUUGUCGACGGCCGCUCCUAGGAGGGCCAUUGGAGCCAUGUAGGAUACCCUCAGUCGUGGUUGUGCUUGUUAAGGACUAGAUAUUAAUCGUCAAUUGGAUAUUAAGGUCCAGAUAUUAAUCAUACAUUAGAUACCAAGGUAAAAAUAAUACUACCAAAAUAUGAGUCAUACGAUGCCAUUUGAACGAUCGUAUCAUAAAUGACAGAAAUAGUACAAAGAUUCAAAUUCCAGAAUUACAAGACUCAAAUUCGCAGAUUACAAGGU
rnacentral:lncRNA from 1 species